CGAACGGGUGAGUAAUAUAUCGGAACGUACCCUGGAGUGGGGGAUAACGUAGCGAAAGUUACGCUAAUACCGCAUACUAUCUAAGGAUGAAAGUGGGGGAUUCGCAAGAACCUCAUGCUCCUGGAGCGGCCGAUAUCUGAUUAGCUAGUUGGUGGGGUAAAGGCCUACCAAGGCAUCGAUCAGUAGCUGGUCUGAGAGGACGACCAGCCACACUGGAACUGAGACACGGUCCAGACUCCUACGGGAGGCAGCAGUGGGGAAUUUUGGACAAUGGGCGCAAGCCUGAUCCAGCAAUGCCGCGUGAGUGAAGAAGGCCUUCGGGUUGUAAAGCUCUUUUGUCAGGGAAGAAACGGUGAGAGCUAAUAUCUUUUGCUAAUGACGGUACCUGAAGAAUAAGCACCGGCUAACUACGUGCCAGCAGCCGCGGUAAUACGUAGGGUGCAAGCGUUAAUCGGAAUUACUGGGCGUAAAGCGUGCGCAGGCGGUUUUGUAAGUCUGUCGUGAAAUCCCCGGGCUCAACCUGGGAAUUGCGAUGGAGACUGCAAGGCUAGAAUCUGGCAGAGGGGGGUAGAAUUCCACGUGUAGCAGUGAAAUGCGUAGAGAUGUGGAGGAACACCGAUGGCGAAGGCAGCCCCCUGGGUCAAGAUUGACGCUCAUGCACGAAAGCGUGGGGAGCAAACAGGAUUAGAUACCCUGGUAGUCCACGCCCUAAACGAUGUCUACUAGUUGUCGGGUUUUAAUUAACUUGGUAACGCAGCUAACGCGUGAAGUAGACCGCCUGGGGAGUACGGUCGCAAGAUUAAAACUCAAAGGAAUUGACGGGGACCCGCACAAGCGGUGG
rnacentral:rRNA from 1 species